GAUGAACGCUGGCGGCGUGCUUAACACAUGCAAGUCGAACGGGACUAUUUUCAAACGAGGCUUCGGCCGAGGGAGGAUUUAGUCUAGUGGCGGACGGGUGAGUAACGCGUGAGCAACCUGCCCUUCAGUGGGGGACAACAGCUGGAAACGGCUGCUAAUACCGCAUAUUGCACAUGGGUCGCAUGGCCUGUGUGUGAAAGAUUUAUCGCUGAGGGAUGGGCUCGCGUCUGAUUAGCUAGUUGGUGGGGUAACGGCCCACCAAGGCGACGAUCAGUAGCCGGACUGAGAGGUUGAACGGCCACAUUGGGACUGAGAUACGGCCCAGACUCCUACGGGAGGCAGCAGUGGGGAAUAUUGGGCAAUGGGCGCAAGCCUGACCCAGCAACGCCGCGUGAAGAAAGAAGGCUUUCGGGUUGUAAACUUCUUUGACCAGGGAAGAAACAAAUGACGGUACCUGGAAAACAAGCCACGGCUAACUACGUGCCAGCAGCCGCUGUAAAAC
rnacentral:rRNA from 1 species